ACCUCGAUGGUGUAGUGGUAGCACGCGUUCCCUGCAUGGAUGAAACACGGGUUCGACUCCCGUCUGAGGUC